rnacentral:rRNA from 1 species
UACGAAGGGGGCUAGCGUUGCUCGGAAUCACUGGGCGUAAAGGGUGCGUAGGCGGGUCUUUAAGUCAGGGGUGAAAUCCUGGAGCUCAACUCCAGAACUGCCUUUGAUACUGAAGAUCUUGAGUUCGGGAGAGGUGAGUGGAACUGCGAGUGUAGAGGUGAAAUUCGUAGAUAUUCGCAAGAACACCAGUGGCGAAGGCGGCUCACUGGCCCGAUACUGACGCUGUGACGCGAAAGCGUGGGGAGCGAACAGG